UACGGAGGGUGCAAGCGUUAUCCGGAUUUACUGGGUUUAAAGGGUGUGUAGGCGGGUAUUUAAGUCAGUGGUGAAAUCUCCGAGCUUAACUCGGAAACUGCCGUUGAUACUAUUUGUCUUGAAUAUUGUGGAGGUAAGCGGAAUAUGUCAUGUAGCGGUGAAAUGCUUAGAUAUGACAUAGAACACCAAUUGCGAAGGCAGCUUACUACACAACGAUUGACGCUGAGGCACGAAAGCGUGGGGAUCAAACAGG
rnacentral:rRNA from 1 species